GGGGCCUUAAAGGUUUCGACGUGUUGGCGAAAGCUGCCCCGUGAUACAGGUCGAGAGUGAGUCUCCUCUCGUUAAUAUCGGCUCAAACAAAAAAGUAACUGCGAAUAACAUCGUUAAGUUUGAGCGUGCAGCUGUCGCUGCUUAAAACCCUCUCACAAAGGUACGCUCGUCUAUAGUUUGACUCCGUUAAGGACUAUGGACAAACCCCAACGGAUGCGCUAAUAAAUUGCCUUUGGUCGGUUUAUUGGCAAAGACUUCACCAAAGCAUCCUGUCAUCCGGGAUAAUGGAUGGUUCCCGCCCAGAGGGUCAGAUGGGCUAAGCCUGUGAAUGAGCGGUAGGUUAAUACCCAGGGCGGACACGGGUUCAAUUCCCGUAGGCUCCACUU
rnacentral:tmRNA from 1 species